AGAGUUUGAUCAUGGCUCAGAUUGAACGCUGGCGGCAGGCCUAACACAUGCAAGUCGAACGGUAACAGGAAGCAGCUUGCUGCUUCGCUGACGAGUGGCGGACGGGUGAGUAAUGUCUGGGAAGCUGCCUGAUGGAGGGGGAUAACUACUGGAAACGGUAGCUAAUACCGCAUAAUGUCGCAAGACCAAAGAGGGGGACCUUCGGGCCUCUUGCCAUCGGAUGUGCCCAGAUGGGAUUAGCUUGUUGGAGGGGUAACGGCUCACCAAGGCGACGAUCCCUAGCUGGUCUGAGAGGAUGACCAGCCACACUGGAACUGAGACACGGUCCAGACUCCUACGGGAGGCAGCAGUGGGGAAUAUUGCACAAUGGGCGCAAGCCUGAUGCAGCCAUGCCGCGUGUAUGAAGAAGGCCUUCGGGUUGUAAAGUACUUUCAGCGGGGAGGAAGGGAGUAAAGUUAAUACCUUUGCUCAUUGACGUUACCCGCAGAAGAAGCACCGGCUAACUCCGUGCCAGCAGCCGCGGUAAUACGGAGGGUGCAAGCGUUAAUCGGAAUUACUGGGCGUAAAGCGCACGCAGGCGGUUUGUUAAGUCAGAUGUGAAAUCCCCGGGCUCAACCUGGGAACUGCAUCUGAUACUGGCAAGCUUGAGUCUCGUAGAGGGGGGUAGAAUUCCAGGUGUAGCGGUGAAAUGCGUAGAGAUCUGGAGGAAUACCGGUGGCGAAGGCGGCCCCCUGGACGAAGACUGACGCUCAGGUGCGAAAGCGUGGGGAGCAAACAGGAUUAGAUACCCUGGUAGUCCACGCCGUAAACGAUGUCGACUUGGAGGUUGUGCCCUUGAGGCGUGGCUUCCGGAGCUAACGCGUUAAGUCGACCGCCUGGGGAGUACGGCCGCAAGGUUAAAACUCAAAUGAAUUGACGGGGGCCCGCACAAGCGGCGGAGCAUGUGGUUUAAUUCGAUGCAACGCGAAGAACCUUACCUGGUCUUGACAUCCACGGAAGUUUUCAGAGAUGAGAAUGUGCCUUCGGGAACCGUGAGACAGGUGCUGCAUGGCUGUCGUCAGCUCGUGUUGUGAAAUGUUGGGUUAAGUCCCGCAACGAGCGCAACCCUUAUCCUUUGUUGCCAGCGGUCCGGCCGGGAACUCAAAGGAGACUGCCAGUGAUAAACUGGAGGAAGGUGGGGAUGACGUCAAGUCAUCAUGGCCCUUACGACCAGGGCUACACACGUGCUACAAUGGCGCAUACAAAGAGAAGCGACCUCGCGAGAGCAAGCGGACCUCAUAAAGUGCGUCGUAGUCCGGAUUGGAGUCUGCAACUCGACUCCAUGAAGUCGGAAUCGCUAGUAAUCGUGGAUCAGAAUGCCACGGUGAAUACGUUCCCGGGCCUUGUACACACCGCCCGUCACACCAUGGGAGUGGGUUGCAAAAGAAGUAGGUAGCUUAACCUUCGGGAGGGCGCUUACCACUUUGUGAUUCAUGACUGGGGUGAAGUCGGAACAAGGUAACCGUAGGGGAACCUGCGGUUG
rnacentral:rRNA from 1 species